AAGUUCUCGACUUAAAUAUAGCAAAGCGGUUCUAAAGCUGGCAGUUUUUUUUUUUGAUAAACGGUCUUUGCGUUUGAUCGCCAAGUUCGCUAUUGAUAUGUGCAACGCCGCGAUUGUUUCACCCUCUCAUGCGGCCAAUUCUCACGUAAUAACGUUUUUGUGAACAGAGGCACCGGUUGCUUGGUUAUCCCUGGCUUCUCAAUGUUCCAUUCACAAAAAUUGGGCCCCUAAAGUUACUACGCUGGAUCUGCAAAGCGAGUUGCGCAGAAGCUGCCUGGAAAGACCGUGCGCCGAAGGAGUCCACGUCGACUGCCGGGAACAGGAGUACCAAGGAACAUGUUGCGAGCCACUCUGUUUGUCGUCAUACUUUGUGGUGCGGUGCUUUGUAGGAGUACGGGCUUGAAAGGAUCGCCUGUAUGCGUCAAGCCAGACUGUUCCACACACCGAAAUAGACAGAAUAUGAGUUGUACGAACCCAUGCGAGGGAUACUUCUGCAAGGAUGGACGUCUCAUGACUCUCAAGUGCAUAGGAGCGGACGACCCACUCUGCGAUACUCCUUACGGUGGGACUGGACCGUAUCCUGAUUGUUGUGGCCCAGUGAGGUGCAGCGAAUCCGCAGGAAAGGGCGGAUCUCGAAGGCCUUGAAUGACUUCGAGACCUCGGUCUGAAAAAAACUGGAAGGAUACAAGUUCGCAUUGACUGAGCACAGGCGACUAAGAGGGAGCGCAAGGAAGUUUCAGAAAAAAUCAGACAGUUCCAUAA